GCUGCGAGAUCGAAGAAACCACCAGCGGGCCAUCACAAAAUUCAUGUUGAUGCAGGGGUGCGGGCCAGAAGAGGGGGCUCUACUGCGGCAGUAUGUAGAGAUGAAAGCGGAAAUUAUAUUGGCAGCUCGGCUCUCGUAGUAGAAGGAAUUUUUGAUCCCCCAACCCUGGAAGCUAUUGCAUGUCGGGAAGCCUUGUCUCUUGCGGAGGAUUUGGGCAUCCGUCGGUUCAUAGUGGCCUCGGACUGUCGUCAGGUCGUUCUCGAUAUCAACAGGGGGUCAAGAGGUGUCUAUGGCGCUGUCAUUAGUGAGAUCAACAUCCUAGCUGCUACUUUAUCUUGUAAUUUUUGCUUUGAAACCCGUGCUGCUAAUUAUGAAGCACAUCGUUUAGCUAAGUUUGCUCUUUCUAGAGGUCCGGUGCGCCAUGUAUGGUUCGGUGUUCCCCACGACCAAACUUGUCUCCCACUCCAUGUGGAGUUUGAUGAAUAA
rnacentral:rRNA from 1 species